rnacentral:misc_RNA from 1 species
CGCCCGUUGCGGGGCGGAAAGCACAGUCUGUCGUCAUGACGGCCCACAAUGCGCUGUUGCGCGGCAGCCGUGACGAUGAUGUUGACAUCUCUGUGCGGCGCGGGGCCCACGCAGACACACUCACGGUGGACGGCGCAGCAGCUCGCCUGCUCUCCGCUAUUGCCAGCUACACGAAGUUUGCUGCAGCCACAGACGUCGAGGCAGAGAGUAGUGGCGAUGCGGCGCAAGAAGCGGCCGCCCUCUCUCUCAUGGCGCACAUGCAGCGACUCUCGCUGCUGUGCAAUGCAGCACGAACCCCCGAGACGAGCUGCACGAGCGCAGGCCAAGGCAACAUCCACAAAUGCGUGGAUGACUGGGCAAAGUGGCUCGUGGGCCUCGAGUCGCAGCCGAUUGUGCUCGCAAGCAAAGUAGCGCUCUGCCUGCCUCCGCUCCAGGCGUGUUGGCGAGGUGGCUCUGCUGUUGAUGGUGCCGGCAGCGCACACAUUGAUCGAAUCGAAGAGGCAAUCGGCAGUUUUUUUGCCCGCGCGGCGCGUAGGUGCGUGACGGAGUGGACGACGCAUGGAACACCUCUCCGCACGUUGCUGCCACCGCUGGCGUUGCUGGCCACCUACGCGCGAUUCCGCUGGGCGUGGAGUCGCUUUACGGAGCUCGGGCACGUCGGCGGCGACGAGCAUCUUGGUGGGGCGGAGGGCGGUAUAGCGGUUAUAGGGUCUGCAGACGCGAUGCACAGGCAAGAGAGCAGGUAUAUUGAUUUUCUCAGCAUCGCGGGUGAAGUGGAGUCCUGCCACGCCGACAAGCUCACGCGCGAGGUGCUUCUGCAUUCCUUGAAAACCAUCGAUUGGCGAGCGGGUAACGCCGUACCGGCUGUGAAGGAGGUCGCGCCGCUUGUCUGGUGCGUGUUCUUGCGCUGCCGGAGCUAUGCUCUGCACAGUCACUCACAGAAUCACUCCUCUUUCUCUGAUUUUUUCGCCCACGAGGCGUCUGCCCGCCUGGUUGCACAGGUGCUGCGAUGUACGGUGGACGGUGUCCGUCUAUGCAUUGAGAGGCAGGCUGCUGACAUGCAUGUAGCUCGUGCGACGCAGCUGUGUACCUGCGACAUACCAUGUCUUGUGCUGCUGACGCGGCUUUGGUUUUCGUGGAUCGCGUUAGCCACUGAUGCGGCGACAGUGCUUUUACCACGCCUAGAGCGCUCGCUGCGAAAGCUAGUCUCCUCGGCCGUGAAGCUGCGCGGUGGAGCGGAGACGAAACCACCUUCAUCGACUGUUGCGGCCGCACUGGCAGAAAACAGCGGCGAAGUCAGCCGGACAGAACAAGAGACACUUUUUGUGGAAGUCGCGUGGAAGGUGGCUCCAUUGUCUAUGUCGGAGAUCGCGUCCGCCACGGCAGCGGUGCCGUGGGCCGAUGCGUUUGCCCGUGCCAGGGAAGUACAGGCGGUCCUUGAAAAGCGAACCCUUGUCGCGCCAGUCCCGUAAGCAGCAUGCAGCGUGGUUUGCUCUGUCGGCGGCUGCAUGAGCGAUGUCGUCGUUGAACGUUACUUUUUCCCACCCGUGACGCCACUGUGUGAGUUUCUCCGUGUCGGUCCCGCGUUCGUGGGCGCCACCAUGGCGCCCUUUGCUAUUCUUGCGUUCUUUGGGAUGCGGUGGAGGGGGGAACGCGGAGGCCGCCAAGAUCGGCACUGAACAGUAAGCAAAACAGUAGCACCCACACCCACACACAGAUGCAGACAUGCAGAUGAGAGCCACCCCCUCGGACGGCAACCGCUCACUACCCAUACGCAUGCCAUGCCACCAACGCCCCCUGAACGGAGGAAUGCAGUGUAUGCCCUCACCUUGGGAGACGACCGUGAGUUUACGAUCUCGUACACGUGUCAGCAGGCAUCGCAUCUCGUGAUCUGCGCGAGUCACCCUCGUGCAAGCUUCCCGUCUUCUCGGCAGCACGUUUAUCCUUUUUUGUUGUUGUUCCGGUACUGUGCAGUACCUCUGCGUGCGGCACGCUGUCUUUUGUGUGGGGAGUCGUAUCCAGCCAACCGGUGCGAAGCGGACGAUCAGGGUGUACAGUUGGCAGCACGGUGCAUGGCUAUGUAGUCGCUGACUCGCCUUCCCACCCGCCUCGCCUCCUGCGCCUCUCUCCUCUCUCCUCUCUCCCUCAUGGGGGCUCGGCUCUUGCUGUAACGGGCUCAAG